ACGGUUUCGAGUUCACUCCCAACCCAAUGUGAACCAUACCAAACUGUUGCCUCGGCGGGGUCACGCCCCGGGUGCGUCGCAGCCCCGGAACCAGGCGCCCGCCGGAGGGACCAACCAAACUCUUUUCUGUAGUCCCCUCGCGGACGUUAUUUCUUACAGCUCUGAGCAAAAAUUCAAAAUGAAUCAAAACUUUCAACAACGGAUCUCUUGGUUCUGGCAUCGAUGAAGAACGCAGCGAAAUGCGAUAAGUAAUGUGAAUUGCAGAAUUCAGUGAAUCAUCGAAUCUUUGAACGCACAUUGCGCCCGCCAGUAUUCUGGCGGGCAUGCCUGUCCGAGCGUCAUUUCAACCCUCGAACCCCUCCGGGGGGUCGGCGUUGGGGACCUCGGGAGCCCCUAAGACGGGAUCCCGGCCCCGAAAUACAGUGGCGGUCUCGCCGCAGCCUCUCCUGCGCAGUAGUUUGCACAACUCGCACCGGGAGCGCGGCGCGUCCACGUCCGUAAAACACCCAACUUCUGAAAUGUUGACCUCGGAUCAGGUAGGAAUACCCGCUGAACUUAAGCAUAUCAAAAGGCCGGGAGGAAA
rnacentral:rRNA from 1 species